rnacentral:rRNA from 1 species
GACGAACGCUGGCGGCGUGCUUAACACAUGCAAGUCGAACGGAAAGGCCCUGCUUUUGUGGGGUGCUCGAGUGGCGAACGGGUGAGUAACACGUGAGUAACCUGCCCUUGACUUUGGGAUAACUUCAGGAAACUGGGGCUAAUACCGGAUAGGAGCUCCUGCUGCAUGGUGGGGGUUGGAAAGUUUCGGCGGUUGGGGAUGGACUCGCGGCUUAUCAGCUUGUUGGUGGGGUAGUGGCUUACCAAGGCUUUGACGGGUAGCUGGCCUGCGAGGGUGACCCGCCACACUGUGACUGAGAUACCGCCCAGACUCCUACGGGAGGCAUGAGUGGGGAAUAUUGCACAAUGGGCGGAAGCCUGAUGCAGCAACUCCGCGUGCGGGAUAACGGCCUUCGGGGUGUAAACCGCUUUCGCCUGUGACGAAGCGUGAGUGACGGUAAUGGGUAAAGAAGCACCGGCUAACUACGUG